rnacentral:tRNA from 1 species
GGUUCCAUGGUCUAGUUGGUUUAGGACGCCUGCCUGUCACGCAGGAGAUCACGGGUUCGAGUCCCGUUGGAACCG